GGGUUGUGAGGUUAAGCGACCAAGCGUACACGGUGGAUGCCCUGGCAGUCAGAGGCGAUGAAGGACGUGCUAAUCUGCGAAAAGCGCCGGUAAGGUGAUAUGAACCGUUAUAACCGGCGAUGUCCGAAUGGGGAAACCCAGUGUGACUCGUCACACUAUCAUUAACUGAAUCCAUAGGUUAAUGAGGCGAACCGGGGGAACUGAAACAUCUAAGUACCCCGAGGAAAAGAAAUCAACCGAGAUUCCCCCAGUAGCGGCGAGCGAACGGGGAGGAGCCCAGAGCCUGAAUCAGCAUGUGUGUUAGUGGAAGCGUCUGGAAAGGCGCGCGAUACAGGGUGACAGCCCCGUACACAAAAGCGCAUGUGCUGUGAGCUCGAUGAGUAGGGCGGGACACGUGGUAUCCUGUCUGAAUAUGGGGGGACCAUCCUCCAAGGCUAAAUACUCCUGACUGACCGAUAGUGAACCAGUACCGUGAGGGAAAGGCGAAAAGAACCCCGGCGAGGGGAGUGAAACAGAACCUGAAACCGUGUACGUACAAGCAGUGGGAGCAUGAGUUUACUCAUGUGACUGCGUACCUUUUGUAUAAUGGGUCAGCGACUUAUAUUCUGUAGCAAGGUUAACCGUAUAGGGGAGCCGGAGGGAAACCGAGUCUUAACCGGGCGUUAAGUUGCAGGGUAUAGACCCGAAACCCGGUGAUCUAGCCAUGGGCAGGUUGAAGGUUGGGUAACACUAACUGGAGGACCGAACCGACUAAUGUUGAAAAAUUAGCGGAUGACCUGUGGCUGGGGGUGAAAGGCCAAUCAAACCGGGAGAUAGCUGGUUCUCCCCGAAAGCUAUUUAGGUAGCGCCUCGUGAAUUCAUCUCCGGGGGUAGAGCACUGUUUCGGCCAGGGGGCCAUCCCGGCUUACCAACCCGAUGCAAACUGCGAAUACCGGAGAAUGUUAUCACGGGAGACACACGGCGGGUGCUAACGUCCGUCGUGAAGAGGGAAACAACCCAGACCGCCAGCUAAGGUCCCAAAGUCAUGGUUAAGUGGGAAACGAUGUGGGAAGGCCCAGACAGCCAGGAUGUUGGCUUAGAAGCAGCCAUCAUUUAAAGAAAGCGUAAUAGCUCACUGGUCGAGUCGGCCUGCGCGGAAGAUGUAACGGGGCUAAACCAUGCACCGAAGCUGCGGCAGCGACACUGUGUGUUGUUGGGUAGGGGAGCGUUCUGUAAGCCUGCGAAGGUGGCCUGUGAGGGUUGCUGGAGGUAUCAGAAGUGCGAAUGCUGACAUAAGUAACGAUAAUGCGGGUGAAAAACCCGCACGCCGGAAGACCAAGGGUUCCUGUCCAACGUUAAUCGGGGCAGGGUGAGUCGACUCCUAAGGCGAGGCCGAAAGGCGUAGUCGAUGGGAAACGGGUUAAUAUUCCCGUACCUGGUGUUACUGCGAAGGGGGGACGGAGAAGGCUAUGUUGGCCGGGCGACGGUUGUCCCGGUUUAAGCGUGUAGGCUGGUUUUCCAGGCAAAUCCGGAAAAUCAAGGCUGAGGCGUGACGACGAGGCACUACGGUGCUGAAGCAACAAAUGCCCUGCUUCCAGGAAAAGCCUCUAAGCCUCAGGUAACAUCAGAUCGUACCCGAAACCGACACAGGUGGUCAGGUAGAGAAUACCAAGGCGCUUGAGAGAACCCGGGUGAAGGAACUAGGCAAAAUGGUGCCGUAACUUCGGGAGAAGGCACGCUGACACGUAGGUGAAGCGGUUUACCCGUGGAGCUGAAGUCAGUCGAAGAUACCAGCUGGCUGCAACUGUUUAUUAAAAACACAGCACUGUGCAAACACGAAAGUGGACGUAUACGGUGUGACGCCUGCCCGGUGCCGGAAGGUUAAUUGAUGGGGUCAGCGCAAGCGAAGCUCCUGAUCGAAGCCCCGGUAAACGGCGGCCGUAACUAUAACGGUCCUAAGGUAGCGAAAUUCCUUGUCGGGUAAGUUCCGACCUGCACGAAUGGCGUAAUGAUGGCCAGGCUGUCUCCACCCGGGACUCAGUGAAAUUGAACUCGCUGUGAAGAUGCAGUGUACCCGCGGCAAGACGGAAAGACCCCGUGAACCUUUACUAUAGCUUGACACUGAACACUGGUCCUUGAUGUGCAGGAUAGGUGGGAGGCUUUGAAGUGUGGACGCCAGUCUGCAUGGAGCCGUCCUUGAAAUACCACCCUUUAAUGGCUGGUGUUCUAACGUAGACCCGUGAACCGGGUUGCGGACAGUGUCUGGUGGGUAGUUUGACUGGGGCGGUCUCCUCCUAAAGCGUAACGGAGGAGCACGAAGGUUGGCUAAUCCUGGUCGGACAUCAGGAGGUUAGUGCAAUGGCAUAAGCCAGCUUGACUGCGAGCGUGACGGCGCGAGCAGGUGCGAAAGCAGGUCAUAGUGAUCCGGUGGUUCUGAAUGGAAGGGCCAUCGCUCAACGGAUAAAAGGUACUCCGGGGAUAACAGGCUGAUACCGCCCAAGAGUUCAUAUCGACGGCGGUGUUUGGCACCUCGAUGUCGGCUCAUCACAUCCUGGGGCUGAAGUAGGUCCCAAGGGUAUGGCUGUUCGCCAUUUAAAGUGGUACGCGAGCUGGGUUUAGAACGUCGUGAGACAGUUCGGUCCCUAUCUGCCGUGGGCGCUGGAGAACUGAGGGGGGCUGCUCCUAGUACGAGAGGACCGGAGUGGACGCAUCACUGGUGUUCGGGUUGUCAUGCCAAUGGCACUGCCCGGUAGCUAAAUGCGGAAGAGAUAAGUGCUGAAAGCAUCUAAGCACGAAACUUGCCCCGAGAUGAGUUCUCCCUGAGACUUUAGUCUCCUGAAGGAACGUUGAAGACGACGACGUUGAUAGGCCGGGUGUGUAAGCGCAGCGAUGCGUUGAGCUAACCGGUACUAAUGAACCGUGAGGCUUAACCUUACAACGCCGAAG
rnacentral:rRNA from 1 species